rnacentral:lncRNA from 1 species
GGUACCUUAUCUCUACGUCCCUUUGUGUCCUUAUUCAUUAGAUGGGGAUAAUAAAUGGUGUCAUACAGUUUUUUGUAUGAUUAAGUUAACUGAAAGUACCUAAAAUACUGCCUGGCAUACAAUGCAUUAAAAAUUAACAUUUUAUUACUAGUGUGGUUGCUAUUACUUAACUAUUCUAACCAGGUUUUAGUCUUGUUUAAUAACAGCAGAAAGUAUAAAGCGAAAAAAUCUAAUGAAAGGCAAACCAGUUGUUUUUUAACUAAGAUUCUCUUUUACAGACUGUCGAGUUUUGGAAGGUAAGAGCUGAGAAUACUUUCUUUAGGACCUGUCAGGUUUCCCUGAUCCUAGCUGGACCCUGUCAUCAUGUGAAGUCUGAGCAAACUUCCUGUGUCUGGGAGUGCAUCAGAAGUGAAACUUGUGCUUCAUACUAAGAAAUCUCUUGAGAAUGGCUGGGUCUUGGCUCUUUGAUCUCACCUCUACCUCAUGGAAAGAGAAGAGCUUCUAAAAAAUGUGUUAGGUGGAUGAAUCACACCAAUACCUCCCAGAAGCCACCUGGUCACUUCACUGACUUAGUCAGAUGUCACAGUCACAUAACCCUAUGGGGAUCGGGCAAGUGUCCACCUCUUAAAACCCUUUAUCCACAACUUUAAUCACCUUUGAUAUUCAUUACAUUUGACUUGCUGCUCUUACUCUUUUUGGACAUAACCAAUGCUUGAUGCUAAGACACGAUGUGGCUGUUUACUUCAAAAAGGAAGGGAAAAAGGAAAAGGCUUUCUUUAAAAUUUCAUUUUGAGGGCCAGGGAUUUAGCUCAGUGGUUCCACCGCCUGCCUCACAAGCACAAAGUCCCGAGUUCGAUCCCUGGUACCAAAAAGAUUUUCAUUGUGAAACAAGGUCUCUGGUUAGUUGCCUAGACUGGGCUUGAACCUGCAGUCCUCCUCUUGAGUAGCUGAGAUUGCAGGCAUAUGCCACUGUGCCUGCCAAAGGAUAUUAAAAAAAAGUUUACUUAUGCAGAAAAUUUUGAGGAAAUAUUAAUUUGUAAGGAAAAAAGCAGGAUAAAAGUAUCCAGAAGCUCUUGACCCCGAAUCUGUUAAUGUUUGGUAAGUUUUCAGUAUGGCUUUAUUCUAUUUUUAUUGUGUAC